GGCUAUAGAGCCUCGCUUUCGUGUUUGUGACUUUGGAUAAAACCCGACGUCUCAAUAAUGAAAGCGAGGCUCUAUAGCC